rnacentral:rRNA from 1 species
UACGUAGGGGGCAAGCGUUGUCCGGAAUUAUUGGGCGUAAAGCGCGCGCAGGCGGCUGUUUAAGUCUGGUGUAUAAACCUGAGGCUCAACCUCGGGACGCAUUGGAAACUGGACGGCUUGAGUGCAGAAGAGGAGAGUGGAAUUCCACGUGUAGCGGUGAAAUGCGUAGAGAUGUGGAGGAACACCAGUGGCGAAGGCGACUCUCUGGUCUGUAACUGACGCUGAGGCGCGAAAGCGUGGGGAGCAAACAGG